rnacentral:rRNA from 1 species
CACGUAGGGCGCAAGCGUUGUCCGGAAUUAUUGGGCGUAAAGAGCUCGUAGGCGGUCUGUUACGUCUGCUGUGAAAACCCGGGGCUUAACCCUGGGCUUGCAGUGGAUACGGGCAGACUAGAGGCAGGUAGGGGAGAAUGGAAUUCCCGGUGUAGCGGUGAAAUGCGCAGAUAUCAGGAGGAACACCAAUGGCGAAGGCAGCUCGCUGGGACGGUACUGACGCUGAGACGCGAAAGCGUGGGGAGCAAACAGG